rnacentral:lncRNA from 1 species
GCCUCUUCUAAUAAAAACAUACAAGCACAAACACUAAAUUUAAACGACCUGCUUGGGACCCAGGAACCACCCAUUACAGAGAACAGAUUGAACAUGAAAAAUGCCCCCCCCCCCCAAAAUGCCUGCUUGAACCUUCUCUAAACUCUCUCUCCCUGCCAUAUGCCAAUUGCAUGUUAGUUUAGCCAAUAGGCAAGCUAUCAUUGGUGGGUCAUUUCCAUGCCCCAGUCCCAAGCCUCAUCCACCUUAAUACUAUCACAUCCUUAUUCAACUAGAAUUGAA